rnacentral:rRNA from 1 species
GAUGAACGCUGGCGGCGUGCCUAAUACAUGCAAGUCGAGCGAACAGAUAAGGAGCUUGCUCCUUUGACGUUAGCGGCGGACGGGUGAGUUACACGUGGAUAACCUACCUAUAAGACUGGGAUAACUUCGGGAAACCGGAGCUAAUACCGGAUAACAUAUUGAACCGCAUGGUUCAAUAGUGAAAGGCGGCUUUGCUGUCACUUAUAGAUGGAUCCGCGCCGUAUUAGCUAGUUGGUAAGGUAACGGCUUACCAAGGCAACGAUACGUAGCCGACCUGAGAGGGUGAUCGGCCACACUGGAACUGAGACACGGUCCAGACUCCUACGGGAGGCAGCAGUAGGGAAUCUUCCGCAAUGGGCGAAAGCCUGACGGAGCAACGCCGCGUGAGUGAUGAAGGUCUUCGGAUCGUAAAACUCUGUUAUCAGGGAAGAACAAAUGUGUAAGUAACUGUACACAUCUUGACGGUACCUGAUCAGAAAGCCACGGCUAACUACGUG